UACAGAGGUCUCAAGCGUUGUUCGGAUUCAUUGGGCGUAAAGGGUGCGUAGGCGGCGCGGUAAGUCGGGUGUGAAAUCUCGGAGCUUAACUCCGAAACUGCAUUCGAUACUGCCGUGCUUGAGGACUGGAGAGGAGACUGGAAUUUACGGUGUAGCGGUGAAAUGCGUAGAUAUCAGGAGGAACACCGAUGGCGAAGGCAGGUCUCUGGGCAUUAACUGACGCUGAGGAGCGAAAGCAUGGGGAGCGAACAGG
rnacentral:rRNA from 1 species